rnacentral:rRNA from 1 species
UACAGAGGGGGCAAGCGUUGUUCGGAAUUACUGGGCGUAAAGGGCGCGUAGGCGGCCUUCUAAGUCGAACGUGAAAUCCCCGGGCUCAACCCGGGAACUGCGUCCGAUACUGGAAGGCUUGAAUCCGGGAGAGGAAAGUGGAAUUCCUGGUGUAGCGGUGAAAUGCGUAGAUAUCAGGAGGAACACCGGUGGUGUAGACGGCUUUCUGGACCGUAACUGACGCUGAGACACGAAAGCGUGGGUAGCAAACAGG